UUCCUGGUAGCUCAGAUGGUAAAGAAUCUGCCUGCAAUGCAGGAGGCCCAGGUUCGAUCUCUGGGUUGGGAAG
rnacentral:tRNA from 1 species